rnacentral:rRNA from 1 species
GUGGGGAAUAUUGGACAAUGGGGGGAACCCUGAUCCAGCCAUGCCGCGUGUGUGAAGAAGGCCUUUUGGUUGUAAAGCACUUUAAGUGGGGAGGAGGCUUACCUAGUUAAUACCUGGGCUAAGUGGACGUUACCCACAGAAUAAGCACCGGCUAACUCUGUGCCAGCAGCCGCGGUAAUACAGAGGGUGCGAGCGUUAAUCGGAUUUACUGGGCGUAAAGCGCGCGUAGGUGGUUAAUUAAGUCAAAUGUGAAAUCCCCGAGCUUAACUUGGGAAUUGCAUUCGAUACUGGUUGGCUAGAGUAUGGGAGAGGAUGGUAGAAUUCCAGGUGUAGCGGUGAAAUGCGUAGAGAUCUGGAGGAAUACCGAUGGCGAAGGCAGCCAUCUGGCCUAAUACUGACACUGAGGUGCGAAAGCAUGGGGAGCAAACAGGAUUAGAAACCCUAGUAGUCC